UUUAUUGUAGCGUUCCAUACUUUAGAACGCUGUAAAUAAAAUUAUUUGCAGCGUUUCCCUUAUAUAGGGCGCUACAAAUAAUUGUGAUAUUUACAAAAAGUAUACUUCGCCUUUUCCGCCCCUUGCUGAAAACCCUAACCCUAAAAAAAACCCAGAAAGAAGAGAGAGAGGGGGGAGACGAUUAAAGCUCUCGCCAAGGCUCAGUUCACGGCGCACCACUUUCCGGGGACCUCUCAUCUUUCCCCUCCUCUGGUUCGCUGCCGUCGCCGUUCAACUAGCCAUCUCAUCACUCGGGUUUUAUAUUGAAGGAAAAAGCCGUCGGAAAAGGAGGAUGAGUUUGUUGUUAAAGCGACGUCGUUGUCUGAGAGUGCUGAUGGUGAUGAAGCUCCUAAAGCGAUUUCUCAGACUUUAGAGCUUGGGAUUUUGGUUGGCUUUGGUAUAUUUUUAAUAUCUACUUCAAUAUGCACAAUAAGCAGGGGACCAGGAAGAAUUUCAUUAGACUGGACAACAAGAAUCAGUCUAGUUCUCGGAGUAGCUCGUAGGGAAGUAUGACUAUCAAUAUUUAUUAUAGAUUCAUGGUAAUGAUGUCUCAAUCUUAAUCUUAACCUUAUAGGUUGCAUUGAUCAGAUACAGAAUCCUUAUAAUUAUUUCACUUACUGUCAUUUGUGUGUGUGUGUGUGUGCGUGCGUGCGUGCGUGCGUGUGCGUGUGUGUGUGCGUUUGUGUGUGUAAUGGUUGGGGAUGGGGUAGGGGAGCAGCUCUACUGUUACUGAUUUCUGACUAGCAACCUGGAAACAAGCUGCUUAAAAUUUAUAAUUAACCAUGGCAAAUUGGGGAUCGUGGAAUUACAGCCUAAUAUUAGGCAAUUCGCAAGAGUAAACAUAUAUCUGCUAAAAUUAUCUAUCUGUCUCAAUCUUAUAUCUAAUUGAUGUGCUCCACUUUUUCAGAUAUCUGGUUGAAUGUUCUCUGCUACAUGUGCUCCUAGACAUGUCAUAUAGGCACAACUAGCUAACAUAAAAAUAGUGAGAGAUUUGUGGGUAGUUCUCAAAGUGGGAUUGACUCUUUGGGGAAUAGAUUAUCUAGCCUCGAGAGAGCAUUGGAUGAGAACUCCCAUGAUUUAGCUGUGCAAAGUGGAAGAAUUGCCAACAAUGACUCAGCAGGAAGCCUUUGCUGUCCUAGUACAGAAUUCCUGAGUCCGAAAUUCUGGAGAAGAACAGAAGGAAGGUCGUCCUCAAUUCCAAAGUCAUCUUAUUCAGGAAGUAUGCCUAAUAGAAAUGCCAGUCUUGAAGCUGCUCCACAUAUGGAUGGUUUUAAGCACCACGAGUAGAACGAAGGCUUUUAUCAGGUGUCAUGGGGAAGUGUCAAAAGCAUUGGCCAAAUUGCCUAGAGAGGAAGAAAUUGCAGUCCCAGAAGCUUUGAUUCAGCUUCCACUACUGCUUGUUUUAAUUCAGUGGUUCGAGGAGCAUAGACUACAGGCACAUCAAGGAUUUGGAGGCAGUGUUGCAUGAAGUGAGAUCUUCCACAAACACGAAAGAAGAAAGCCACCAAAUGCAAUUUGAUGCUCCUUCAACUACAACGAAUGACAUGAACAACAAUGACCAGCUGGAGCUCAAAGCCAUGGUUGAUGUCAUUGCAACAAAGGCACAUGAAAUGGCACUAGCUAAGGAGAAUGAUGAACUACGAGCUAAGAUUUAGGUUCUACUCGAGGACAAUAGUAAGUUUAUAGAUUUGUAUGAAAGGACAGCUGCAGAGACCAAUGAAGUCAAUAAUGUAGAUGCUCAAGGUGAUGCCGAUGAAGGCCAAACUUGAGUUGUAAUUUUUAUGGUUUUCAGAUUUGGCUAGAGGAGUACUCCCAUGAUUUACGUGGGGUUAUUUGUAAUGACCUUGUUUUUUGGAUGUUUAAUAAAAUCAUCAACAUUGUUUCUAUU